UACGGAGGGAGCUAGCGUUGUUCGGAAUUACUGGGCGUAAAGCGCACGUAGGCGGCUUUUUAAGUCAGAGGUGAAAUCCCGGGGCUCAACCCCGGAACUGCCUUUGAAACUGGAGAGCUAGAAUCUUGGAGAGGCGAGUGGAAUUCCGAGUGUAGAGGUGAAAUUCGUAGAUAUUCGGAAGAACACCAGUGGCGAAGGCGACUCGCUGGACAAGUAUUGACGAUGAGGUGCGAAAGAGUGGGGAGCAAACAGG
rnacentral:rRNA from 1 species